GAUGAACGCUGGCGGCGUGCCUAAUACAUGCAAGUCGAGCGAACGGACGAGAAGCUUGCUUUUCUGAUGUUAGCGGCGGACGGGUGAGUAACACGUGGAUAACCUACCUAUAAGACUGGGAUAACUUCGGGAAACCGGAGCUAAUACCGGAUAAUAUUUUGAACCGCAUGGUUCAAAAGUGAAAGACGGUCUUGCUGCCACUUAUAGAUGGAUCCGCGCUGCAUUAGCUAGUUGGUAAGGUAACGGCUUACCAAGGCAACGAUGCAUAGCCGACCGGAGAGGGUGAUCGCCCACACUGGAACUGAGACACGGUCCAGACUCCUACGGGAGGCAGCAGUAGGGAAUCUUCCGCAAUGGGCGAAAGCCUGACGGAGCAACGCCGCGUGAGUGAUGAAGGUCUUCGGAUCGUAAAGCUCUGUUAUUAGGGAAGAACAUAUGUGUAAGUAACUGUGCACAUCUUGACGGUACCUAAUCAGAAAGCCACGGCUAACUACGUG
rnacentral:rRNA from 1 species